rnacentral:rRNA from 1 species
AUGGUUUAAUUCGAAGCAACGCGAAGAACCUUACCAGGUCUUGACAUCCUCUGACAACCCUAGAGAUUCCCCUUCGGGGGCAGAGUGACAGGUGGUGCAUGGUUGUCGUCAGCUCGUGUCGUGAGAUGUUUGGGUUAAGUCCCGCAACGAGCGCAACCCUUGAUCUUAGUUGCCAGCAUUCAGUUGGGCACUCUAAGGUGACUGCGAACAAACCGGAGGGGGAUGACGUCAAAUCAUCAUGCCUGACCUGGGCUACUAACACGUGCUACACAGAACAAAGGGCAGCGAAGCCGCGAGGCUAAGCCAAUCCCACAAAUCUGUUCUCAGUUCGGAUCGCAGUCUUAA